rnacentral:rRNA from 1 species
ACUCAAAUGAAUUGACGGGAGCCCGCACAAGCGGUGGAGCAUGUGGUUUAAUUCGACGAUAAGCGAGAAACCUUACCAGGUCUUGACAUCUAGCUGCACGCCUCUGGAAACAGAGGAAGCCUUCGAGGGUGCUAGACAGGUGCUGCAUGGCUGUCGUCAGCUCGUGGCGUGAGCUGUUGGGUUAAGUCCUCUAACGAGCGCAACCCCUGUCGAGUGUUAAAAUAUUCGCUCGAGACUGCCGGCGAUAAGCCGGAGGAAGGAAGGGAUGACGUCAAGUCAGCAUGGUCCUCUGACGACCUGGGCUACACACGUGCUACAAUGGGGUGCAACAAUGGGUUGCCAAAGCGCAAGCUGGAGCCAAUCCCACCAAACCACCCCCCAGUUCGGAUUGAAGGCUGCAACUCGCCUUCAUGAAGCCGGAAUCGCUAGUAACCGCGCAUCAUCACGGUGCGGUGAAUACGUUCUCGGGCUUUGUACACACCGCCCGU